AUUAGCUCAGGAGAUCAUCUAAUAUUACAGUUUCAGUUUUGGUCAUUGAAUUGAUAGCCAUGCCUAGUUUAUCUGACCACCAAAGACUACAUAUGGCAUGUUUGGCGGUGGAAAUAUUAAGAUUUUCCAGGUUUCUUUGGAGGCAUCCACCUUUGCCAGAUCGUCGAUCCUUGAAGCCAUAAAAAAGGAGGUUAAGUUGAAAUAUGCAAGGAAUGAUGGAAAAUGCUGGGAAUGAUGGAGGAAAAAUGUCACAUGAGGGGUGUAUAUAUAGUCUGAAUGAAGGGUUUGUGAAAUUGAAUUAUUUCCCUAUGAUUGAUCAGUAUUAAACGCACGGGUCAACAAAUUUCCUAUUAUGACAUGGUAUGUGUUUGUAAUGCGUACAUAAAAUCAACGUUUUUUUUUCUCCUA